GNUCAAAUUUAAANUCUGGCAUCUUUGUUNNCCGAGUUGUAGUCUGGAGAAGCGUUUUCUGUGCUGGACCGUGUACAAGUCUCUUGGAACAGAGCGUCGUAGAGGGUGAGAAUCCCGUCUUUGACACGGACUGCCAGUACUUUGUGAUGCGCUCUCAAAGAGUCGAGUUGUUUGGGAAUGCAGCUCAAAAUGGGUGGUAAAUUCCAUCUAAAGCUAAAUAUUGGCGAGAGACCGAUAGCGAACAAGUACCGUGAGGGAAAGAUGAAAAGCACUUUGGAAAGAGAGUUAAACAGUACGUGAAAUUGCUGAAAGGGAAACGCUUGAAGUCAGUCGCGUUGGCCAGAACUCAGCCUGGCUUUUGCCUGGUGCAUUUUCUGGUUGACGGGCCAGCAUCAAUUUUGACUGCUGGAUAAAGGCCUAAGGAAUGUGGCACCUUCGGGUGUGUUAUAGCCUUGGGUCACAUGCAGUGGUUGGGAUUGAGGAUCUCAGCAUGCCUUUAUGGUCGGGGUUCGCCCACGUUCAUGCUUAGGAUGCUGGCGUAAUGGCUUUAAACGACCCGUCUUGAAACACGGACCAAGGAGUCUAACAUGCCUGCGAGUGUUUGGGUGGAAAACCCGAGCGCGCAAUGAAAGUGAAAGUUGGGAUCUCUGUCGUGGAGAGCACCGACGCCCGGACCAGACCUUCUGUGACGGAUCCGCGGUAGAGCAUGUAUGUUGGGACCCGAAAGAUGGUGAACUAUGCCUGAAUAGGGUGAAGCCAGAGGAAACUCUGGNGGANGCUCGUAGCGAUUCUGAC
rnacentral:rRNA from 1 species